rnacentral:rRNA from 1 species
GACGAACGCUGGCGGCGUGCCUAAUACAUGCAAGUAGAACGCUGAAGAGAGGAGCUUGCUCUUCUUGGAUGAGUUGCGAACGGGUGAGUAACGCGUAGGUAACCUGCCUUGUAGCGGGGGAUAACUAUUGGAAACGAUAGCUAAUACCGCAUAACAAUGGAUGACACAUGUCAUUUAUUUGAAAGGGGCAAUUGCUCCACUACAAGAUGGACCUGCGUUGUAUUAGCUAGUAGGUGAGGUAAUGGCUCACCUAGGCGACGAUACAUAGCCGACCUGAGAGGGUGAUCGGCCACACUGGGACUGAGACACGGCCCAGACUCCUACGGGAGGCAGCAGUAGGGAAUCUUCGGCAAUAGGGGCAACCCUGACCGAGCAACGCCGCGUGAGUGAAGAAGGUUUUCGGAUCGUAAAGCUCUGUUGUAAGUCAAGAACGGGGGUGAGAGUGGAAAGUUCACACUGUGACGGUAGCUUACCAGAAAGGGACGGCUAACUACGUG